rnacentral:rRNA from 1 species
GAUGAACGCUAGCGGCAGGCUUAACACAUGCAAGUCGCGGGGCAGCGGGGGAUGAGCUUGCUCAUCCCGCCGGCGACCGGCGCACGGGUGAGUAACACGUAUGCAACCUGCCCCUGUCAGGGGGACAACCCGCCGAAAGGCGGGCUAAACCCGCGUACAUGCCACCGGGGCAUCCCGGAGGCAGGAAAGGCUUCGGCCGGACAGGGAUGGGCAUGCGGCGCAUUAGGCAGUAGGCGGGGUAACGGCCCACCUAACCGACGAUGCGUAGGGGUUCUGAGAGGAAGGUCCCCCACACUGGUACUGAGACACGGACCAG